GGUUGAAGCAAUGAAGCCUAGUACAGAUAUCGGAUUCACAAACUAGAAGAAAAUCCUCGAGCCUCAGUCUCUCUCUCUCUCUCUCUCUCUCUCUCUCUCCUCUCUGAAUCGAAGCGAGGCGAAAGGCAGAGAGCCUUUAUCUCUGUUAACCCAGAAAACCUGGGUUUUGAGGCUGCAUUCUGAGGAUUUGGGGAUGGAAAAUGGUGAUAAGAAUGCUGGUGGGUCUGAAGUGGGGGAGAACAAGAGUGUGGAAGUUGAGGUUGUUGAGGAGAGGGUUGUAGAGGGGUCUAAUGGACUCAAGGAUGACGCCGAAGAUGAGGUUUUUAAGGAGGCAAUAAAGACACAGGAAAAUUUGCAGCAGCAGGGGAGCAAAAAGGAUUUAGUGGAUGCUGCUGCUGUUGGUGAAGAAAGAAAGGCUGAGAUGGUUGGUGGUUUGGGGUUGGACUCUCUUAUAGAGAGUCCUAAUGUCGAAAAGUUUGAAGAGGCAAUUGAAGUUCCUGAUGAGGUUGGGAAAUCUGAUGGUGAUGAUGGGGAGGAGGCAAUCGUGGCAGGUGAAGUGAAGGUGGAAAACAUGGUGGGUAAGAACAGUGAUGAUGAGGUUGGAGUGCCAGUUGGAAUUGAUGAUGGACAGACUAUAAAAGAAGUAGUCAGUGAGGAAACAAAUGGAUUGACAGAUGAUGGGUUGGUGGGCAGCCAAGAAGAUGGAGUAAAAGAGGUUACUCAGGUUGGGGCUGGUGGAGGAAUAGCAGGAUUGACAGGUGGGGAUGAGGCUGAUGUAAAGUCUGUAGUUCUUGAGAAUAUGAAGUUUGAAAAAGUCAAUUUUGAAUCAAAUGGACUUGUGGAUGAUGGAUUGGUGGGUAGCCAAGACGUUGAGGUGAAAGAAGUUUCUGAGAUUAUUACUGGUGCGGAAGUAGCAGGUUUGACAGAUGUGGAUGAGGUUGAUUCAAAGCCCAAUGCAGUUCUUAAGAAUAAGGAGCCUGAGAGGAAUGAUAUUGAUAGUUCAACUUCAGAGCCAGUGCCUACAGAUGAAAAAUUAGAUACUGAAGAUCUUGAUUCUCCUCAAGUAACUGAAUUUACUAAGGAGAUUUUGAAGGAAGCUGGUAAUAGUCAGGAGUUAGAGGAGAAUUCCUUGAGCAUUGAGAAUCAGGAUGAGAAGACUGUGGACCUAGCAAGUGCUUCAGAUGGCGUUCCUUUGAAGCUUCAAGAUGAUAAUGGUGUAGAACUGCAUGAUAGAAACAUGGAUACAGUGCAUCAGGAAGGUCAUAGUGCUGAUUCAAAUGAUGCCACCCUUAGCAUUGAAGAAAAGCAGGAGGAUAAUAAGACUGAAAAACCGAAAGAUACUUUGACUGUUACAGAUGCUGAACAUCAAGGUUUCAGUAAUGGGGAAGUGAAGGACUCUUUCACUGUGCCGGGUUCAGAGCAUCACGAGGAAAAAUCUGAACCAAAAAGCGUUUCAUCUGCUAAACAGCUGUCUGGGGAGGGUGGUGAGGAAAGGAUUGUGACAUCAGAAAGGGAGAUCUCAGCUCUUUCUGAAACAUCUGCAACUGAGAAAACAGAGACGAUUCAGGAUGGAGCCACUAAUUUGAGAACAAAAAGUAACAAAGUUGAUCAACCUCAGCGAGUUGGUGAAAUUGCAUGUGAAGUUCGCGACAACAUUGCUGUGCCUGAAGAGCCUGAAAAGAAAGAAAACAUUCAGGGAGAAAGGGGAAUCACUAAAGUGAACAAAGAACAAGAGAUUCAGCCUGCACCAGCUCUUUCUUCAUCUUUAAAUUCUACACAACCAAGUCCCCCUCCUGCUCGUCCAGCUGGCCUUGGUCGUGCUGCCCCACUUUUGGAACCUUCUCCUAGGGUGGUACAGCAUCCUCGAGUGAAUGGUACAAUAUCUCAUGUGCAAAACCAGCAAAUUGAGGACCCUGUUAAUGGAGAGGCAGAGGAGUCUGAUGAGACUCGUGAAAAGCUUCAGAUGAUAAGAGUGAAAUUUUUACGUCUUGCACAUAGACUUGGGCAGACUCCGCAUAAUGUUGUUGUGGCUCAGGUUUUGUACAGAUUGGGAUUAGCUGAGCAGCUGCGUGGUAGAAAUGGGGGCCGUGUUGGUGCCUUUAGUUUUGACCGUGCAAGUGCGAUGGCGGAACAGCUUGAGGCAUCGGGGAAUGAACCCCUUGAUUUUGCUUGUACCAUUAUGGUUCUUGGAAAGUCAGGAGUUGGUAAAAGCGCAACCAUCAAUUCUAUAUUUGAUGAAAAGAAGUUCACUACUGAUGCUUUUCAGAUGGGGACAAAGAAAGUUCAGGAUGUUGUGGGUACUGUGCAAGGGAUUAAGGUACGGGUCAUUGACACACCUGGACUUUUACCUUCCUGGUCAGACCAGGGACAGAAUGAGAAGACUCUCCUCAAUGUUAAGCGCUUUAUCAAGAAAACACCUCCGGAUAUUGUGUUGUAUUUUGAUAGGUUGGACAUGCAGAGCAGAGAUUUUAGCGAUAUGCCACUCUUGCGCACCAUCACAGACAUUUUCGGGGCCUCUAUUUGGUUCAAUGCAAUUGUGGUUCUGACUCAUGCUGGAUCAGCUCCACCUGAGGGCCCAAAUGGUGCCGCUUCUAGUUAUGACAUGUUUGUCACUUCACGAUCUCAUGUUGUUCAGCAAGCCAUUCGUCAGGCAGCCGGGGAUAUGCGCCUCAUGAAUCCUGUUUCAUUAGUAGAGAACCACUCCGCUUGCAGAACUAAUAGGGCUGGGCAAAGAGUCUUGCCAAAUGGUCAGGUUUGGAAGCCUCAUUUGUUGUUGCUCUCCUUUGCAUCCAAGAUUCUGGCCGAAGCAAAUGCAUUAUUGAAGUUGCAAGAUAGUCCACCUGGAAAACCUUUUGCAACUCGAACUAGGGCACCUCCUUUACCUUUCUUGCUUUCAUCACUCCUUCAGUCAAGACCACAGUUGAAGCUGCCUGAGGAGCAGUUUGGUGAGGAUGACAGUCUAGAUGAUGAUCUGGAUGAAUCUUCAGAUUCUGAUGAUGAAUCAGAAUUUGAUGAAUUGCCCCCAUUCAGACGUUUGACCAAGGCCCAGGUGGAAAAACUGUCUAAAGCACAGAAAAAGGCAUAUUUUGAUGAGUUAGAGUACAGGGAAAAGCUCUUUAUGAAGAAACAAUUGAAGGAGGAAAAAAAGCGACGGAAGUUGAUGAAAAAAAUGGCAGCUGCAGCGAAGGAACUGCCAAGUGAUUAUGUCGAAAAUGUUGAAGAAGAGAGUUCUGGUGCAGCAUCUGUACCUAUUCCCAUGCCAGAUUUGGCAUUGCCUGCUUCCUUUGAUUCUGAUAAUCCAACUCACCGUUACCGGUACCUAGAUUCCUCCAACCAGUGGCUCGUAAGACCUGUUCUGGAACAGCAUGGUUGGGAUCAUGAUGUUGGUUAUGAGGGUAUAAAUGCAGAAAGACUGUUUGUUGUUAAAGAAAAGAUACCCUUAUCUUUUUCUGGCCAGGUUACCAAGGAUAAGAAGGACGCCAAUGUCCAAAUGGAAAUUGCUACUUCAAUAAAGCAUGGAGAAGGGAAAGCGACUUCAUUCGGGUUUGAUAUGCAGACUGUUGGAAAGGACUUGGCUUAUACUCUACGAAGUGACACAAGGAUCAGUAAUUUUAGGAAGAAUAAGGCUACGGCUGGUCUCUCAGUUACUCUCCUGGGUGAUGCUUUAUCGGCUGGUAUGAAAGUUGAAGACAAAUUUAUUGCUAAUAAACGGUUCCAAUUGAUUAUGACUGGUGGCGCAAUGACUGCCCGUGGUGACGUUGCUUAUGGUGGUAGUUUGGAGGCUCAGUUGAGAGACAAAGACCAUCCUUUGGGUCGUUCCCUAUCAACCCUUGGGCUCUCAGUCAUGGAUUGGCAUGGAGAUCUUGCCAUAGGGUGCAAUAUACAGUCUCAGAUUCCUGUUGGACGGCAUACGAACCUGAUUGCUCGUGCCAAUUUGAACAAUAGGGGGGCAGGACAACUCAGCUUGCGCUUAAAUAGCUCUGAACAGCUUCAGUUAGCUUUGAUUGGCCUUGUUCCUCUGCUCAGAAAGUUUUUCACUUUUCCUCAACAGUUGCAGUAUGGACAAUGAUGAAAAUUAGAAUAAUGAUUGUGCCGUGGCAGCAUUGAGGUAUAGGUCGUCAUCAAGAGUGAGUGAGGAGUUCAUCCUGUGAUGGCCAUCACCACAAUCAUUGAUAUUGUUUGUGCAUGGCAGAGGGCUUUGAAAAUGACCAAGUUUUUAGUCUUUUGCUGUUGGUGUUUGAUCAAUGUGAGCUGCACCUAAAGGAAGCCUGGAGUAUGAAUAAUUUUCUGCUUUAACCCUGUCCUUCCACUCGUUUUUGUGAGGGAAGGAAAAGAGCAGCACCAAUAGCAUUCCUCAGAUUCUCUUCUAGUAGGGGGAGUCAUCCGCAGGAUGGUGGAAAAUAACGAGGUUAUCUUUUGCUCAACGCUGUUUUUCUUCUUCUCGUGUUUGUAAUGCAAUUUUGACAGAAUUAAGAAUCGUGCAUCAGUUAGACCAUUGUAAACUCUUCUUUGUAAUGCACCGGGAGUUCAUUUUUCCGUUUA